rnacentral:tRNA from 1 species
GGUCUCGUAGGGUAGCGGUUAACACGCCUGCCUGUCAAGCAGGAGAUCGCGGGUUCGAUUCCCGUCGAGACCGCCA